AAGCAUAUCAAUAAGCGGAGGAAAAGAAACCAACAGGGAUUGCCUCAGUAACGGCGAGUGAAGCGGCAACAGCUCAAAUUUGAAAUCUGGCCCUAGGCCCGAGUUGUAAUUUGCAGAGGAUGUUUCUGGCGAGGUGCCUUCCGAGUUCCCUGGAACGGGACGCCAUAGAGGGUGAGAGCCCCGUACGGUUGGUCGCUAAGCCUCUGUGAAACUCCUUCGACGAGUCGAGUAGUUUGGGAAUGCUGCUCUAAAUGGGAGGUAUACGUCUUCUAAAGCUAAAUACCGGCCAGAGACCGAUAGCGCACAAGUAGAGUGAUCGAAAGAUGAAAAGCACUUUGAAAAGAGGGUUAAAUAGUACGUGAAAUUGUUGAAAGGGAAGCGCUUAUGACCAGACUUGGACCGGUUGAUCAUCCAUCGUUCUCGGUGGUGCACUCUGCCGGUUCAGGCCAGCAUCAGUUUGUCCCGGGGGAUAAAGGCUUUGGGAAUGUGGCUCUUCGGAGUGUUAUAGCCCAUUGCGUAAUACCCUGGGGUAGACUGAGGUUCGCGCUCCGCAAGGAUGCUGGCGUAAUGGUCAUCAGUGACCCGUCUUGAAACACGGACCAAGGAGUCGUCUUCGUAUGCGAGUGUUCGGGUGUCAAACCCCUACGCGGAAUGAAAGUGAACGUAGGAGAGAGCUUCGGCGCAUCUCCGACCGAUCCUGAUGUUCUCGGAUGGAUUUGAGUAAGAGCAUACGGGGCCGGACCCGAAAGAAGGUGAACUAUGCUUGUAUAGGGUGAAGCCAGAGGAAACUCUGGUGGAGGCUCGCAGCGGUUCUGACGUGCAAAUCGAUCGUCAAAUAUGAGCAUGGGGCGAAAGACUAAUCGAACCUUCUAGUAGCUGGUUUCUGCCGAAGU
rnacentral:rRNA from 1 species